GAUGAAGAACGUAGCGAAAUGCGAUACGUAAUGUGAAUUGCAGAAUUCAGUGAAUCAUCGAAUCUUUGAACACAUAUUGCGCUCUUUGGUAUUCCGAAGAGCAUGCUUGUUUGAGUAUCAGUAAACACCUCAAAGCUUUUGGAUUUUUUAAUCGAAAAGCUUUGGACUUGAGCAAUCCCAACACCAAUCUUUUUGAGAUCGGUGGCGGGUUGCUUGAAAUGCAGGUGCAGCUGGACAUUCUCCUGAGCUAAAAGCAUAUUCAUUUAGUCCCGUCAAACGGAUUAUUACUUUUGCUGCAGCUAACAUAAAGGGAGUUUGACCGUAUUGGCUGACUGAUGCAGGAUUUCACAAGGGUCGGCAACGAUUCUUGUUAAACUCGAUCUCAAAUCAAGUAAGACUACCCGCUGAACUUAAGCAUAUCAAUAAGCGGAGGA
rnacentral:misc_RNA from 1 species